AAUAUUGGACAAUGGGGGCAACGCUGAUCCAGCCAUGCCGCGUGUGUGAAGAAGGUCAUCGGAUUGUAAAGCACUUUAAGUUGGGAGGAAGGGCUUUAGGCUAAUACCCUGUAGUUUUGACGUUACCACCAGAAUAAGCACUGUCUAACUCUGUGCCAGCAGCCGCGGUAAUACAGAGGGUGCAAGCGUUAAUCGGAAUUACUGGGCGUAAAGCGAGCGUAGGUGGUUCAGUAAGAUGGGUGUGAAAUCCCCGGGCUUAACCUGGGAACUGCUUUCAUAACUGCUGAGCUAGAGGACGGUAGAGGGUAGUGGAAUUUCCUGUGUAGCGGUGAAAUGCGUAGAUAUAGGAAGGAACAUCAGUGGCGAAGGCGACUACCUGGACUGAUACUGACACUGAGGUGCGAAAGCGUGGGGAGCAAACAGG
rnacentral:rRNA from 1 species